rnacentral:rRNA from 1 species
UACAGAGGUCCCAAGCGUUGUUCGGAUUCACUGGGCGUAAAGGGUGCGUAGGUGGUUAGGUAAGUCCGAUGUGAAAUCUCCAGGCUCAACCUGGAAAUGGCAUUGGAUACUAUUUAGCUUGAGGAGUGGAGGGGGGACUGGAAUUCUCGGUGUAGCAGUGAAAUGCGUAGAUAUCGGAAGGAACACCUGUGGCGAAAGCGGCUCACUGGACCAUUACUGACGCUGAGGCACGAAAGCUAGGGGAGCAAACAGG